rnacentral:rRNA from 1 species
UGGGGAAUUGUUCACAAUGGGCGCAAGCCUGAUGACGCAACGCCGCGUGGGGGAUGAAGGUCUUCGGAUCGUAAACCCCUGUCGAAUGGGACGAAAGACUCGCGAGUGAAUACUUCGCGAGAGUGACGGUACCGUUAAAGGAAGCCACGGCUAACUCUGUGCCAGCAGCCGCGGUAAUACAGAGGUGGCAAGCGUUGUUCGGAAUUACUGGGCGUAAAGGGCGCGUAGGCGGCCCUCUAAGUCAGACGUGAAAUCCCCCGGCUUAACCUGGGAACUGCGUCUGAUACUGGAGGGCUUGAGUAUGGGAGAGGGAUGUAGAAUUCCAGGUGUAGCGGUGAAAUGCGUAGAUAUCUGGAGGAAUACCGGUGGCGAAGGCGGCAUCCUGGACCAUUACUGACGCUGAGGCGCGAAAGCUAGGGGAGCAAACGGGNUUAGAUACCCCGGUAGUCCCUGAGCGGGCUGGCAAGGCGCAU